rnacentral:lncRNA from 1 species
CCAAGCUAUAUACGAAUCUUUCACAUCCUCUUUUUUAUAUUUAAUUAAUUCAAUGUCGUUUAUUAAGACUUCAUUCCGUAAAAAUUCCUGCCUUCUUUGAAUAUCAUGAACUGUUCUUGUUGGUUGAGCGCCUUUUUUAAGGAAAUCGAGAAUAGCAGGAAAUUUAAAUAAGUUUGAUUUGUUAUCGGAUCAUAAAACCCACUUUACGAAGAUCUCUUCCUUCUCUUCGGGAUCGAACAUCAAUUGCAACGAUUCGAUAAACGGCUCAUGGGAUAGAUGUAUAUGAAUAAUACCCCCCCUAGAAACGUAUAAGAGGCUUUGGCCUCGUACGGCUCGAGAAAAAAAAUUCAAAAAUUCAAUGAGUAGAAGUUAACUCUCUGUAUAAAUUCAAAUAUUAAAUAGAUUAAUAAAAACAUUAAAAAAAUUAACCAGUAUUGAAACCCGAAAUAUUUUUUAUGGAUUAGAUAUAUCAUGGCGAAUUCUUCAGAAAAAAUUGUGUCAAUAACUUUCAAUAUCUCAACAGAGAAUCCUUAAGUACUCUUUUUAUUGAGUAGUCUCUAACCCGUUUUUUUGUUUGUCUCAUUUUGAGAAUCUAUUGUGAUUCUUCAUUCUGAUCUAGUUGUUCAACAAUUGAAAACGGGAUUUCCUUGUUUCAGGAUUCUUUAUCCUUACUUUGAUCUUUGGGUUUAGACAUGACUUCGGUGAUCUUUAAUCGUUUUAUUAAAAAAGGGCAGCAACAAGCCCCUUAUUUUGUUUAUGAUUUCUUUUCUUUCUAUCAAGACUCAUACAAACGCUUGAUUCACGCAUGAUAGACUUUUGAUUCAAAAAAUUUUACAAUUUAAGAAAAUUUCCUUUUCCAUUGUAAAAUUACUUGAAAGGGCCUUUUUUCAAUAUAAAAAUAAAAAGACUUACGAAGUUGUUCCAACUUAUUGAUUCGCACUAACCCUAGAUCCUUACUCCUGCGAAAGGAAUAAAAACUUUCUAUUUUCCUCGAGCUCCAUCCUGUACUCUUUUUAUAUUCAAAAAAAGUGCAAGACUCUAAUAAAAUAGAACACAAAAUGUCGAGCCAAGAGCACCUCUAUUCCUAUAUAAAAGUGGCGGAUCAAAAAAUCCACAGCAGAUCAUGUCCUUCAAUUCAAGUCGCACGUUGCUUUCUACCACAUCGUUUAAACGAAGUUUUACCAUAACAUUCCUUUAGUUUGUGUAAUUGAUUCAAUGAUGGAAUCAUGAAUAGUCAUAGUUCAGUCAGUAUAUCGUAAUCUAUACUUUUUCUUUAUCUAUACUUUUUCUUUCUCUAUGAAUGGAAUAGUGAAUUUAGGCGUAAAAGGUUCAGUCAGAAUUCAAAUGAAUCCCAUAUUAGAU